CUUCUUUCCUAAAGUGACAGGGCCAGGCCACAGGCAGAUGAAGGAUGAUGAGAUGUGCCAAAGGCACUUCUGAAACACAGUCACCAAGGAGUCUGAGGAAAAACUUGAGACAAUUCUAAACAGCACUAGGGCCUUCUCAUUCUCGGCAGGAAAGUGUUGAGGACUGUAGGGCAUUUGUUUACUAUGGCAUACAGAAGACUUGUUCCCCAAAGGUGUCCAGCUCUGGACCUCCAGAACCAGUGAAUGUGUAACUUUACAUGGCAAAGUGGAUUUUGCAGAAGUGACUAAGGUCUUGAAAAGGGAAGUUUAUCGUGAUCAUCUAGGGCCCUGGGAAUCACAAAGGUCCUUAUUAAGAAGAUUGCAGGAGAAGUCAAAGUCAGCGGUAAAGAGCCAGCAGGAGUCAGAGGAGAGAAGAUAUCACACUGUUGACUCUGAAGAUGGAGGAAGAAGCAUGAGCCAAGGUGUGCAGGAGGCCCUUAUGAGCUGAAAAGGGCAAGGAAAAGAAGUUCACCCUUCGAGACUCUGGAAGCCUGGACAACACCUUGAGUUUAGCCCAGUGAGGCUGAUUUCUGACCUCUGACUGACAUUUCAACAAGUAUGGCUCUUCUUUACAUGAGCACAGCUUCCAGCUGAAACCACUGAUCCCUCAAAUUUUCAAAGUUCUCUUGAAGCCACUCCAUCAGCACAAGGUGAUCAGCAUUUGAAUGGGGACACCCAGGAAUCUGCACCAUGGAGUGUGGAAUUGUCCUUCCUUUACAAGCUUGGAAAGCAAAAUAAGGUUGACACAAGUGGAAAAGAGAAGCCUGACAUUUCUUCUCUGCUUCAUCUUUCCAGCUCCUCAGUAAAAAGAAGGAAGCAGCAAAUCCAAGGACAUGGUGUGUCAGCGCCUGCAGGGGGCCAACAGGUCGGAGAGUCAGAAGAGAUGGAGAUGGGGCGCAUCUGGGUGGCAACACCAACAUUCGCUGAAUCAAGAGACUGGGAAAGGCUAAGGGAACAGUCAAGGCCUCUUCUGCACGAGAUGGAAAUGUUCACAAGGUUAUGAAGAAAUAAGUGGGGGAGCACAGGGUGUGCUGCGAUGGAGACGGAGAGAGGCAGGCCGCCUCGCCAAAGCGUGUAUUCAGCAGACUGUGUUAGUGAAGAGUACAGAGGGAAGCUGAGUAAACAGAAGUUGAGUUCCUUAAAACCACCUGGGCCUACUCAAACCUACCAAAAUCCCUACGUGUCACUAGAGAAACCUCUAACCUAAUGUGAAGACCACUCUUUGGCCAUAAAGGUACAAUCAAGGUACAGCAACAGGUA